GCCUGGCUAAUUUUUUGUAUUUUUAGUAAAGACGGGGUUUUGCCAUGUUAGCCAGGAUGGUCUCGAUACCCUGACCUUGUGAUUCACUCGCCUCCUGUCACAUUUCUGUGCAACCACUGGAGAAAUCACAGUGUUGGCUAACACAUAUUGAGCUCUCACUAAUUGCUAGUUACAAUUCUAAGUAUUUUACAUGCUUAUUUUAUUUAUUUAUUUAUUUAUUUUUAUUAUUUAUUUUAAUACAGAUGAGCUCUAACUAUGAUCUUGAACACCUGGGCUCAAACAGUCUUCCCACCUCAGCUUCCCAGAGUGCUGGGAUUACAGGCGUGAGCCACCGCACCCAGCACUGACAGCUUUCUUAAAACAGGUUAUAUGCACGAUUCAUCUCUGCAUUCUCACACACCUCUUGUGGUGCCUAGCAAACAGUAGUAGCAAACAAAUUUAUUUAAAUAAAUGGAUUUACACAUGUCUGGGAUGCCUGCAAUGUGACAAGCUCACUGAAGCCUACGAAUGAUUGCAUCUUCCUCUUUAAACUGUUUUGUUUUUUAAUAGAAAAAACUUCAAUUUUGCCAACUCUUCCCCAUUUUAAUUGUUAGUUUGAGCUCCUUCUUUCACAUCCUCCAUUUGACAAAUUAGUAUCGACAUCUUGCAAAGUCUGAUGAUACCUUUUUAACUUUUUUCUUCUUUUUUAUAUACAAGUCAAGUCUUCUGGGGUUUUUUAUUGGUAGUUUUCUAUUAUUCUAUUUUAGUAGAGACUAUGUUAUUUUAAUUUUUACUAUUAUAUAUGUGUGUGUGUGUGUGUGUAUAGUGUUACCGCUCUUUUAAAAUUUGUUUAGCAGGCUUUCCAAUUUUUGCCAGAAAGCUCCCUGAAAAAUAAAAAAUAAAGAAUAUAUAUAUAUAUAUAUACACACAUACACAUAUAUUUGAAGAUCAAAAGAAAUAUGUAAAUAAUUCUUUUCAGCAUAUACUGUAAAUAUUUGGCCGACCAUAUCCCAAUUGAAAUUCUUACAUGAAUUCAAUAGCUAUUGACCAUUAUAAACCCAGGGAAAUCAUAUUGUUCUAUGGGCUGGUUGUUAGAAAGGACCUAAGGAGAGCUUUAACUAAGAGGCCAGGGACAUUACUAUGCAUUUGUCUAUUUAACCUUGAUUCAAGCAAUAAGAGCAUUGUGAACAUUUCUAUGGAAGCUCAACCACCCAACAUAAAGCCUAGUAAGAUAAUAAUAAAAAUCCUCAUCCACCUCCUCAGGCCUCUUAACACCUGCCACCCAGUGAAGAUUCCUGCGGUACUCGACUCCUAACUCCCUCCUCGCACAUUUAUUGUUACUUAUGACAAGGUCCAUGAAUCACUGUAAAGACGCUGCCCACCCUUUAAUAUCCUGCACAACCCUAAAUUGUGCACAGCUGAGCCAUCAGCAGCUAAGGAAGAGGUUCAAAGAAUAGCUAUUCAUGGUAUAGCCACAAGAUACAACGUGGAGACCAAACGGCAUCAAAAGAAAGACUCAAAGAGCAGAAUGUUGCAGCGAGGCAGAGGCUUUUGAGAGAAAAGGAAACUUUGAGAUGGCAGUUUUACAAGGGAUUGAGACAAGUGAGCCUGUUUACGUACACAGGAUGGCUCCCUUUAAUUAGUGGUCUCAGCAGGAAGAAUUUGUGAUGCUACAGACAUCACAAAGGGCAGGUAAUAUUCUGAUACAUCUCUUCAGCACUCUGAAAUCCUUGAAGUAUCCAACUAGAGAAACAACUUUUUUUUAAAAAGAAAGGGAGAAAGAAAGAAAGAAAAUCCAGUUUAUCAGACUGACUUUCUAGCAGUCUGAGUUCACCCAGAUGCAGUUUAAGUGUAUGUAGAAUGUAUUUUACCACAUCUAGUUUGCUUCUACUUUUUUUUUUUUUUUUUUUUUUUUUUGAGAUGGAGUCUCGCUCUGUCACCAGGCUGCAGUGCAGUGGCGGGAUCUCAGCUCACUGCAACCUCCGGCUCCCUGGUUCAAGCGAUUCUCCUGCCUCAGCCUCCCAAGUAGCUGGGAUUACAGGCACAUGCCACCAUGCCUAGCUAAUUUUUUUUUUUUUUUUAUUUUUUAGUAGAGACGGGGUUUCACCACGUUACCAGGAUGGUCUUGAUCUCCUGACCUCGUGAUCCACCUGCCUCGGCUUCCCAAAGUGCUGGGAUUACAGGCAUGAACCACCAUGCCCAGCUGCUUCUACUUUUAAUUCCAUGCAAUAUUGUAUAUCUGAGGAACACAAAGUAGAUGUUUAAUGAUAAUAGUAUUGGAAUUACACUCUUCCUUCAAAAUAUGUACAUGCCAAGUCAAAGCCUGAGUAUAAGUUAAGCAGAUGCCUAAAUUCGUGUGACUUUACAUGCAGUCCACUAAACAUAUAACCAAUAAUUUUAGUCACAAAAAUAGAAAUCUCUUUUAUUUUUAUUACAUUUUACAGUUUACAAAGCACUUUGAGCAGACAGUGAGUUUCAU
rnacentral:lncRNA from 1 species